AAUACUCACAAACUCAUCUCAUAUAUCACAUGCGAAAAGAAAAGAAAAGUUACACAAAUAAAAUCAUCACUCUCUUUUUACUACCACUUAUCUUGGGCAUUUCUACGUUGCGGAAAUUCUUAAUAAAAUGGAGCACUAAGCACUUGAUCGUUCAAAGUUAGAAAACACGCAAGGUAUCACAUCACCUUGGCAUGAAGAUCCUUCUUGCAUACACUAUCAUCAUCAUUAACUUCAGUGUUCUUUAACUUCUAGCGCGACUCACCAUACUGCGGGCACUGAUCUAGUUUUUCAUAUGUAUGAUUUAUAAUAUGAAAUUAUUACGGCAUGUAUGUAUUUUGAUACAGUCCAUACCCAUUGGACACAUUCUCUUAUUGGUCUUAUAAUUAUGGUUUGACAACA